ACAAUUUGUUAUGGUAACCGAUUUCCGAUCGAUCUUUUUUCUGUGUGUAUUGGAGAAAAUGUGCAUCAUUUCGAUUUAAACAAAUAACUGAUUCCAAGAGCAGAAAUCUUUAAUCUAUGGCCUGAAUAUAUUAAACCUUCUGUCUUUCAAUUAAUCGAAAUUGAUUUUUCAUUAAAAUUCCUAAUUGCAAAAUCGCUUCAGGAAAGAUGGUAACAAUUUGGUGACAAAAUUUCUGUGUUAAAAACUUUCAAAUGCCUCUGUUUCUAAACAAUUACAAAUGACAGAAGCAAUAGAUAAUGUGCAGGCUGAUGAAAGUGGUGCAUUAGAAAAAAGUAUACAAUCGCUGACUCCCAAGAAGGUUUUGUAAUAAUGGCUGGAUCUAAAGAAGAACUUGAGGCCUAAAUUAGCUUACUCAAAUUGCAAGGACGAAAUAUUCAGCCAAAAUUAAUGAUUGUUGGUGAAAUACAUAAAAUACAUCAAAUAUCCUAUCCUAUUUUAAGAAUUUUAAAUGCUGUAGAUGCAGGGUUUGUAUUGCUUGCUUGAAAUUAGCAAAAGCACCUAAAUUUCUGCUUUGCUUAAAGUUUUUUAACAGUUGUACCCAAAGCAAAAGCAAACAGCAAAGUCGAAGAAACAGAAACAAACUCAUUAGCUGUAGUGGUACAGUGAAAUGUUUUCUGCUAACGCAGUCACAGCGAUUAAUUUUAAACGAUCACUACUGCUUGCAGCGUUUCAGCUCUUGUGGUUUCUCUUGUGCUUUUGCUGUUCUUAUUUGCUGCGCUCUUUUACUUUGUAAAGAACUGCUUAAAGUAUACUUAUAAGUAUACCGAUCGAUUCAGAAUCAUUUUUUGAGUCGAUUAAGACAUGUCCGUCCGUCUGUCCGGCUGGCUGGCUGUCCAUGUAAACUUUGUGUGCAAGG